rnacentral:rRNA from 1 species
UGUUCGCCCAUUAAAGUGGUACGCGAGCUGGGUUCAGAACGUCGUGAGACAGUUCGGUCCCUAUCCGUCGCAGGCGUAGGAAAUUUGAGAAGACCUGUCCUUAGUACGAGAGGACCGGGAUGGACGUACCUCUGGUGUACCAGUUGUCCUGCCAAGGGCAUGGCUGGGUAGCUAUGUACGGAAUGGAUAAGCGCUGAAAGCAUCUAAGCGCGAAGCCAACUUCAAGAUAAGAUUUCCCACCGCAAGGGUAAGACCCCAGAAAGACUAUCUGGUUGAUAGGUCGAAGGUGUAAGUGCAGCAAUGUAUUUAGCUUAUCGAUACUAAUAGGUCGAGGACUUGACCAAU